rnacentral:rRNA from 1 species
CAAUAGCGUAUAUUAAAGUUGUUGCAGUUAAAAAGCUCGUAGUUGGAUUUCUGGUGGGAGCGAUCGGUCUGGCGCUUAGCGCGAGUACUUGCAUCGUCUCCGGCCAUCCUUGGGGAGAGUCUGUCUGGCAUAAGGUUGUCGGGCAGAGGAUCCUCAUCGUUUACUGUGAAAAAAUUAGAGUGUUCAAAGCAGGCUUAUGCCGUUGAAUAUAUUAGCAUGGAAUAAUAAGAUAGGACUUUGGUACUAUUUUGUUGGUUUGCGCACCAAAGUAAUGAUUAAUAGGGACAGUUGGGGGUAUUCGUAUUCCGUUGUCAGAGGUGAAAUUCUUGGAUUUACGGAAGACGAACUACUGCGAAAGCAUUUACCAAGGAUGUUUUCAUUAA